GGCGUGCAACUUUGGUCGGCUUCGGCCGUCAGAGUAUGAAUAAUCGGAGGGCGGUGCGAGCGGCUAAGAGGAUGAACGGGGCAGAGAAGGAGUGGCGGUCGGUGUCCCUGUCUCUCCACCGCGGCCGAACGGUUGGCAGCAGGGAGGUGUUUGAGGGAGUGGGGAGAGAGACGGAGAGGUGGGUGCGUGAAUGAGAUAGGAGAGGCGGGAGCGGUUGGCAUGGCGAAGACGUGCAUGAUGAUCCGAUGCGGUGGGUUAGUAAUAAAGAUAAUUUUGUUAACAAUGUAUUUAGACGAUGAUGUAAUU
rnacentral:lncRNA from 1 species